AUGCCAUCAUCUUCCACACACUUGCAAGUCCUUCAAUCUCUUUCUUCUACGCAAACAAAUCUCUCAUCUCUCUCUCUCUCUCUCUCUCUCUCUUUCUUUCUUUCUUUCUUUCUUUCUUUCUUUCUUCCUUCCUGUGCAACACAAUCUUAAAAGAGAAAGUCGGUGCAACCGUGCACCGACAUUAUUACGAAAUUGCCCUCGAUUAAUUAUUUCUGUUUAAUAUCCUUUCAGUCUUCUCAAAAGGGGUUGUUUUCUCUGUCUUCGGAGGAGUACCACCAUGGAAGGCUGGGAUCCAACCACCAAGGCAAAGGGACAAUGUCAAAUUUUUUUCUUUUUUGUCAUUUCUAUUGCAAGAUAUUCAUGGCAGGAUGAUGCUGCAAUAUGCUGCUCUGAUCUGGAGUGAAUCAGGGUACAAGCAAGGGCAUCAUAUCUCCCCGAUUACCUACUGUGCGUCCCCAAUACCAACAUUCAAUGGCGGCGAUGGUGUUUUCCGAAGAUUCUAAGGGUUGACGGCUCCUGCCCGGUUCUGGUAGGAAGCUAGGGUUCAGGCCAAUUUCCGGUAACUCAAAUGCGCUUCCGAUUAACAAACACUGGCCCGAAUAUAUGCCAGGUGGUUAUGGCACAAUAUACACAUUAAAACAGACGGCACGACAUUUGUUGCUAAAUGUAAGGAGCUGAGUAUUCAGUUAUGCUAUGCCUUUUCGGUUCAACAAUGUCAAUAUUAUUUAUGAUGCAAAUGUAUUCAGUCAUGCUAUGCCUUUUACCGUUGACAAUCACGAAUUGCAGUUACCUUUUACCGGGUAUAAGUGUUAUUUAAUACAUUGGCUCAUUUGGUUAGAAAAAAGAAAACAUGUGGACAUCCGCCACAACCACGACGGAUCUGAACGAGAUCCGCCAUAGCCACGGUAGAUCUAAAGGAGAUCUGGGUUUUGUGGACAAGAAGACACACAAAGACGACAACGGUUAGGUGGUGGUGGUGAUUAGGCGGUGGUUGGCGGCUAGGUGGUUGGGCGGCUUGAUCUGACUUGCGGUGGUGAUUGGCGGUGAUCAGAGGUGAUGACAGUUGUGUGGUGCGAUGACGACGAUGACGGUUCGAUGAGGGUGGGUCGGUGAUGAUGGCAGUAGUGUGGUAAGAGUCAACAAGUUGUCAAAUAUUAUUUUGGCUUAAUAAAACGUUUCAGGUCCGUCUAGAUUGAGCCUCGCUGUGCCCGGCCGCCUAGGCGCGCGCUUUUUGCGCUUUUAACAACAUAGAUGUAUAUGUGUGUGAGAGGGGGGAGGACCGGCUUGAACGUCCGCAAGAGGACGCCGACGACGCCGACGGGGUGUGGAAAUGGCGUGCAGGUGCGGCCCUUUGAAGUAAUAGCAUGCGUUGUGUUUUGGAUGAUAGGGGCGUUAAACACUGUGACAAUGGCAAUGUUAAGCGAUGAUUUUUUUACUCACUUAAAGUUUGAGCUAGGAGAGCUUCAGUUUGCUGUUCAAAAAACUGAGGAUAUGGAAGACAGAGUGAUUGACUUCGAAGCACUACAAAAAGUCCUUCUUGAAGGAAUAGGAGCUUAUGAUAAACUGCAAGCUAACAUAGUGAAGGCAAAGGAUAAACCUAAACACAUCAUAUAACGCUUGGACUAAUCCGUUCGAUAUUUGCGAAGUACCCGCGCCGCAACGCGCGCGGGUCUUUUUACUAGUAAUGUACUAAAGUAAUCUAUACAAGUUACCACAUACAGUAGAAACUCGAUAAAUUAAUACUCGAUUAUUUAAUAAACUCUUUAAGAUAAUAUUUUUUGCCGGUCCUGACUCGGGGAUAGGGUGCUAAAUUAAUAAUUCGCUAAAAUUAUAAGAUAAUACAUUUUUGAUAAUUUCUUUAGACC
rnacentral:lncRNA from 1 species